UGAUCUUGUGUAUGCUGAGAUAAUGUAUCUUUCAAAGGUGUGUUUCCCUCUAUCCUGACCAGUGGGUUCUGAAAUAACUAAAAUUGGUCUCUCUAUGUUGUUUUUUAGGCAUGACUGAACUUGAUCAGUUGCAGUUUCAGUUUGAUACAUCUUCCUCUUGACUUCUGAUUCAAUAACACUCAUUUUUCUUCAGUUCUUUCCUUCACCAGUAAACAUGAUGGAGAUUAGCUCUUUAAAAGGUUGCAAUGCCUCUGUUUUGGAGUCCAGUUAAGCUAUGAAUAUAUGCAAUAUGAUAACCUAUUUAACCUCCCUCCUGUUAAAUGAAUGUACCUCCCAUUUGUAUGUUAACAAGACUAAAACCAUAAAUCUUCUUCUUUCUUCAAAUCUUUGUGACUAGUUAGAUAAAUGUAGAAAUUUGGGUUUUUUAUGUUUAGGUGCUCUAAAUUAAAUCUGUUGGGAUGAAAUAUAUGAUAGGGUCUUAAAAGUUGAAUCUGAUUCUAUGUCCCAGCAGGCCAAAAUAGUUAAACUCAAAAUGUGUUUGUUUUGAUUGUUUGGAUAAGUGUUUGCUGCAAUACUGAAUGUGACACUCUCACUGUCACAUUUGAUGGCUAGUUCAGUCCUUUCCUUGUCUUUUAUGUUUGCUAUUUUGUAGAUUCUGAUUUGGGCCUUUAAUAAAGUGGUUUUUAUAAUGCAUUAUUCCCGUUUUGUUUCUUUCUCUACUAGAAAUGGAUAUGACAUAUAGAUAAAGAAUUUGCCAGAUGGGAGUUGGCUAAAAUAAACUUCAAGAUUCCUUCACUUUGUUUUU